rnacentral:rRNA from 1 species
GACUCUCAGCAAUGGAUAUCUCGGCUCUUGCAUCGAUGAAGAACGUAGCGAAAUGCGAUACCUGGUGUGAAUUGCAGAAUCCCGCGAACCAUCGAGUCUUUGAACGCAAGUUGCGCCCGAGGCCACUCGGCCGAGGGCACGCCUGCCUGGGCGUCA